rnacentral:tRNA from 3 species
GCGCCCGUAGCUCAAUGGAUAGAGCAUCUGACUACGGAUCAGAAGGCUAUAGGUUCAAGUCCUAUCGGGCGCACCA